rnacentral:rRNA from 1 species
AUGCAAGGCGCUGCCGCGGCCGCCGAGAGGAGGAGCAGGGCUUCGCCUGACAAGGCCGACGAGAGCUCCAAGAAGGCCCGGCUGGAUCUGCCCGACGGCCACAUGAAGCAAGAGGCGGCCGGUGGAGGAGAUGGAGGCUCCAUCAUUGGGGCGGCGUACAUCCAGCGAGUGGAACUCGCCGUGAGGAUCGACAAGCAAGUGCUCCACUGCCCCCUCUGCACCCUCCCCUUCAAGCCCCCGGUCUUCCAGUGCAAAGCGGGGCACCCGGCCUGCAGCGGCUGUGUGGCCCUGCUGCCCUUCAGGCAGUGCAAGGCAUGUGUGGACGGCGGUGGCUUCUUCGACCCCUGCCCUACACUAGACGCCUUGGUGUCCUCCACCAGGAUCGGGUGCCCCAACGUCGGCUGCCAGUGGUACGUGACCUACCACGAGGUCACCGAGCACCAGAAAGCGCUCGCCGGUCAUCUCCGCACUGUCCACUUGGUGCCGGUGCGCGCCGUGCAGUACGGCAAGGUCAACAAGCUUCAGCUACCGGUGUCGACCAUGCGGCUGGUGCUCCUGGGCGACGACAACUGCGUGUUCCUCAAGACCGUGGGCGCGCUCGGCGCCGGCGUCACCGCCGUAUCUGUGGUGUGCGCCAGGGCGAGAGCGGCGAGGCGGCCGCGGUUCACGUGCAAGAUGUGGGUCAACCUGGAGACACCCCCGGCAGCAGUGGCAAACUGUGGCAAGGAGGACGUGGUGCUCGUGGACAUGCAAAUGAGGAGCAGCUCAUCGCCCGGCGCCGUGGUCGCUGCGGGCGAGCCCACAUUCCUGACAGUGCCGCCAAUGUACCUGGUGCCAGCAGCAGGAGACGGGGCAUCCAUGGAAGUUCCCCUGCACAUCCGCAUCGAUAAGCUCUCCCCUUGGUCCGACGCAUUGGUGUGA